GACGAACGCUGGCGGCGUGCUUAACACAUGCAAGUCGAACGGAAAGGCCCUGCUUUUGUGGGGUGCUCGAGUGGCGAACGGGUGAGUAACACGUGAGUAACCUGCCCUUGACUUUGGGAUAACUUCAGGAAACUGGGGCUAAUACCGGAUAGGAGCUCCUGCUGCAUGGUGGGGGUUGGAAAGUUUCGGCGGUUGGGGAUGGACUCGCGGCGUAUCAGCUUGUUGGUGGGGUAGUGGCUUACCAAGGCUUUGACGGGUAGCCGGCCUGAGAGGGUGACCGGCCAGAUUGGGACUGAGAUGCGGCCCAGACUCCUACGGGAGGGAGCAGUGGGGGAUAGUGCACAAUGGGGGGAAGCCGGAUGCAGCAACGCCGCGUGCGGGAUGACGGCCUUCGGGUUGUAAACCGCUUUCGCCUGUGACGAAGCGUGAGUGACGGUAAUGGGUAAAGAAGCACCGGCUAACUACGUG
rnacentral:rRNA from 1 species